GAGGGGCCCGCGUCCGAUUAGCUAGUUGGUGAGGUAACGGCUCACCAAGGCAACGAUCGGUAGCCGGCCUGAGAGGGCGGACGGCCACACUGGGACUGAGACACGGCCCAGACUCCUACGGGAGGCAGCAGUGGGGAAUUGUUCGCAAUGGGCGCAAGCCUGACGACGCAACGCCGCGUGGAGGAUGAAGAUCUUCGGGUCGUAAACUCCUUUCGAUCGAGACGAAUUCCCCUGGGGUGAACAAUCCCGGGGGUUGACGGUACCGAGAGAAGAAGCCCCGGCUAACUCCGUGCCAGCAGCCGCGGUAAUACGGGGGGGGCAAGCGUUGUUCGGAAUUACUGGGCGUAAAGGGCUCGUAGGCGGCCAACUAAGUCGGACGUGAAAUCCCUCGGCUUAACCGGGGAACUGCGUCCGAUACUGGAUGGCUUGAGUUUGGGAGAGGGAUGCGGAAUUCCAGGUGUAGCGGUGAAAUGCGUAGAUAUCUGGAGGAACACCGGUGGCGAAGGCGGCAUCCUGGACCAACACUGACGCUGAGGAGCGAAAGCCAGGGGAGCAAACGGGAUUAGAUACCCCGGUAGUCCUGGCCCUAAACGAUGAAUGCUUGGUGU
rnacentral:rRNA from 1 species